rnacentral:rRNA from 1 species
AAGACUUGCUUUUUUCGGCUGACGAGUGGCGAACGGGUGAGUAAUACAUCGGAACGUGUCCGCUCGUGGGGGACAACCAUCCGAAAGGAUGGCUAAUACCGCAUGAGUUCUACGGAAGAAAGAGGGGGACCUGCUUGCAGGCCUCUCGCGAGCGGAGCGGCCGAUGACUGAUUAGCCGGUUGGUGAGGUAACGGCUCACCAAAGCAACGAUCAGUAGCUGGUCUGAGAGGACGACCAGCCACACUGGGACUGAGACACGGCCCAGACUCCUACGGGAGGCAGCAGUGGGGAAUUUUGGACAUGGGCGCAAAGCCUGAUCCAGCUAUUCCGCGUGUGGGAUGACGGCCCUCGGGUUGUAAACCAUUUUAGUAGGGAACGAAAAGGAGCUAUCGAAUAAAUAGCUCUGCUGACGGUACUCUAAGAAUAAGCACCGGCUAACUACGUGCCAGCAGCCGCGGUAAUACGU